ensembl:ncRNA asRNA:CR46048 antisense RNA:CR46048
GCAAAGUUUAGUAGGUCAAGAGCUAUUAAUGCGCUCUUUUUUUGCAAGUGCAAUCAGCUGUCAUGCUUCACUAGCAACCCAUAACAAACGGUUAACUCACAGAUGGGCGUUGUUGUUGUUCGUGGUGUCCAUGCUGCUGCUGUUGUAGUUGUUGUUGGGAAAGCGGGAGUUUCGAGUUCUUUGGUUCGUUGGAGAGGGGAAGAGAAAGAGAGCGCCGUCGCUGAGCGAGGGAGUGAAUCACUGCGCUGGCUGACAUUCUAAUUGGAUUCCUGCUUAUCGACAAUCCGCGUCCGAAGCAAACCCGAAAAUGCGCACAGCACGACGUCUUGAAGGCUGUCUUCCCGCCGAUUUGUGCGAAUAUAUAACAUCCGGGUAUUUUUUUACAUUUUAUAGCGACUCCGAUUCGUCAAGCAGAACGUACACAACUGUAAAUUUGGCGAUGGUAGCGCACAGCUGAUUGCAGCUAUCGACC